CUCUAUCGUUCAUAGGAUCGACCGGAAGUUAAUUCUUAUCUCGUAUUGAAAAUUGUAGGAGUAAACUGGCCAAUCAUAAAUACUAAUCCGCGCUCAAAAGUAGUUCGCCUCAUGCCAAUUGCUUGGUAUAAAUACGUCGUAAAACUGAUCGGCUAAUGGUCAUAACUUGUGAGAAAUUCCGAUAAAUUCUAUUAAUUUAAUACGGAUUCACUUAAUUGUUUUUUGUUCCUUUCGUGUUUUGUUUCUUGUAACGGCUUAACAAUCUAUUUCAUCGGAGAAGGUCAAGAGUAUCUUCAAAUAUUUGGAUAGAGAAGAAGCAACGUUUAAUGAAAAUACCAGACAGAUAAUGACAACUGCAAGUAAAGUUUGUUUGUUAAUGAUAGUCGCUUGUUUAUGUCUAUCACAAUACAUACAAGCAACAUACAUAGACUGUUCCAUGGAGUGCUUGUUUGCCGCCUUCCGAGAGCCAACAGUUUGUGAAUGCAAAAACUCUAGAAAACUUCAUUGGGGAAAAAGAGCGCCAAGAAAUAAACCACACAGAUUACCGACGUUUCGGUAUGGAAAACGGGCUGUUUCAUUUUCAAAUUCGGACUUAGACCAAGACAGAUUAAAAACGUUACGGUCAAUCCAAGAUACGUUACUCUCGGGAGAGGUCUCGCCAUAUGAUUAUGACGUAUGAACAACAACAAUGGUGCCACCUGCCACAUUCUAAAAGAGAGUGAUGGACAAUAAAAUAAAAUAAACGUCAAUUCAUUUUUGAAGACAAAAGGUCUUUUCAUUAGGACAUCAUAUCUUUCAAUAUAUAUGUAUAUAUAUAAAUCAAAUUUUAGACCAAACCUUAUAAGUUCUCGUGCUUUUUUGGCAGUGAAUUGUGUAAUAAAAAAUAUAAAUCUUUAAAGAAAAAUUUACUUUAGUGUAUUUCAAACGAUAAGCAAAAAAAAUGUGAAAGUUUCUUUUACAUUUGAUAGUAAAAACUGAUUUUGAUAAUAUUUGUUUUAACAAGUAUUAUCUUUAUUUGAAAUUGAUGUAAGAUUUCUUUUGUUAACUUGCACAUAUCAUCAUGCAUAACACGAUACUGUACUGUAUGGAUGCAUACACCCACUGGACACCGUUUUCCUAUUAAUUUCAGAUACUUACUAUUAAUAACGGAUACUGAAAUGUCUGUUUUUACCUACAUUAAGUUUUAAGUUAAUAUAGGUGAAAAAAGGAAAGAAAAACGUUUCAAAAAUUUUCAAAUUGAUGUGCAUAGUUCUUACGGUCAUGCAAUAUGCAUUUGUCUCUAUUUAUAUCAAUAAUUUAAAAAAUAAUCUAUAUGUAUAUAUUUUGAAUUCUUUAAUUUAUAAGUAAAGUUGAUGUUCAUUAUGUAACAAUGAAAACUAUUCAAAACAUGUUUUUGUUUCAACUUUUUUUGUCGUUUGCUGAACAUCUCUACUUUUGGUUUUAUAUUUUCCCUUGUAAAUCAAACAUUUGAUCUGCAAAUAAUAAAUUUGUAGAAAUAAAUGUUGAUUCAAACAAAUAAUUGAUAGAAAAAAAAGCUGUUCAAAAAUAAAAUGAAACUGAAAUAAAA